GAUGAAGAACGCAGCGAAAUGCGAUACUUGGUGUGAAUUGCAGAAUCCCGUGAACCAUCGAGUCUUUGAACGCAAGUUGCGCCCGAAGCCAUUUGGUUGAGGGCACGUCUGCCUGGGCGUCACAUAUCGUUGCCCGAUGCCUAUUGCAUUGUGAUAGGAAAUUCUAGGGCGAAAGAUGGCUUCCCGUGAGCGUUGUUGCCUCGCGGUUGGUUGAAAAUUGAGUCCUUGGUAGGGUGUGCCAUGAUAGAUGGUGGUCGAGUUUGCACGAGACCGAUCAUGUGUGCGCUCCCCAAAAUAUGGACUCUUUGACCCCACACGCGUCUUUUGACGCUCAUGACGAGACCUCAGGUCAGGCGGGGCUACCCGCUGAGUUUAAGCAUAUCAAUAAGCGGAGGA
rnacentral:misc_RNA from 1 species